rnacentral:rRNA from 1 species
GACGAACGCUGGCGGCGUGCUUAACACAUGCAAGUCGAGCGGUAAGGCCCUUUCGGGGGUACGACGAGCGGCGAACGGGUGAGUAACACGUGGGUGACCUGCCCUCCAGCUCUGGGAGUAAGCCUGGGAAACCGGGUCUAAUACCGGAUAUGACUCCAUGACGCAUGUUGUGGGGUGGAAAGCCUUGUGCGGCUGAGGAUGGGCCCGCGGCUAUCAGCUUGUUGGUGGGGUGAUGGCCUACCAAGGCGACGACGGGUAGCCGGCCUGAGAGGGCGACCGGCCACACUGGGACUGAGACACGGCCCAGACUCCUACGGGAGGCAGCAGUGGGGAAUCUUGCGCAAUGGGCGAAAGCCUGACGCAGCGACGCCGCGUGAGGGAUGACGGCCUGUGU